GAGUUUGAUCCUGGCUCAGAUUGAACGCUGGCGGCAUGCCUAACACAUGCAAGUCGAACGUGAAAGCCCUUCGGGGUGAGUAAAGUGGCGGACGGGUGAGUAACGCGUAGGAAUCUGCCUAGUAGUGGGGGACAACUCGGGGAAACUCGAGCUAAUACCGCAUACGCCCUACGGGGGAAAGGGGGCUUCGGCUCCUGCUAUUAGAUGAGCCUGCGUCGGAUUAGCUUGUUGGUGAGGUAACGGCUCACCAAGGCGACGAUCCGUAGCUGGUCUGAGAGGACGAUCAGCCACACUGGGACUGAGACACGGCCCAGACUCCUACGGGAGGCAGCAGUGGGGAAUAUUGGACAAUGGGCGCAAGCCUGAUCCAGCAAUGCCGCGUGUGUGAAGAAGGCCUGCGGGUUGUAAAGCACUUUCAGUAGGGAAGAAAAGCUCGAUGUUAAUACCAUCGGGCCCUGACGUUACCUACAGAAGAAGCACCGGCUAAUUCCGUGCCAGCAGCCGCGGUAAUACGGAAGGUGCGAGCGUUAAUCGGAAUUACUGGGCGUAAAGCGCGCGUACGCGGC
rnacentral:rRNA from 1 species